GAAAUAUCUCCAGCCGUUUGGAAGUGAUGCAGUAAAAUAUAUUUCCCAUAGACUUGUAUGGGACUUAAAACAAAAACCCCGACCCUGGCAAAUGUGGAAGUGCCUAGCUCAUCCAGGGAAAGCUGAGUAUGAUAGGGGAAUUCCAGGAAAGUGUGAAAUCCUUAGCAGACCAUAGAUGCCUUGGAACCUCUGAUAAAGUCAUGGACUCCAUCAAAUUAAAAGAAUGGUUAAAAACAGUAACAGGAAAUAAGGUUACAGCAUCCGCGUAGGUGUCUAUUCCUACCGAGAAAAACAAUCAAUACUUCAACAGUUUAGACAUAAAGUUUAUUUUGGAACUUCCCGAAGGCAAGAGGAUCAGCGUUGUCAAGGGGAUCAGCGGAGGAACACAGUCACACCACACCGAAAAUAAACC